rnacentral:ncRNA from 2 species
AGUAGCUGGUUCCCUCCGA